GAACCUGGCUGAUGCAGCUAACUGAUGUCUGUGUAGACAGGGAGCUGUGACGAGAGCAAGAGGUCAGGACACAUUCAGACUCCUCGAGGGAAGGCCUCUUUCUGUUUUUUGAAACUUUUCAAAGCCAGAGACUUGUCCAGUCCAGUCUCCCCACUGCUCCCAACUCUUGAUGCUCAGCGUCCUUGGCUUCUGUCCGCCCUGCUCAUAGUCCUGCGGGAUUGCCACUGCUCAGCCAUGCUCCCGCUGCUUGUCGCCGUGCUCGAGAUGAUUUUUAUCCUGGGAGGAACCAGAGCCCAGUCUGUGACCCAGCUUGACAACCAAGUCCCUGUCUCUGAAGGAACCCCUGUGGAGCUGAGGUGCAACUACUCAUUUUCUUUUUCACUGUCUCUCUUCUGGUAUGUGCAAUACCCCAACCAAGGACUCCAGCUUCUCCUGAGGUAUGCAUCAGGACCCACCCUGGUCAAAGGCAUCAACGGUUUUGCAGCUGAAUUUAAGAAGAAUGAGACCUCCUUCCACUUGAGGAAAGCCUCAGCCCAUAUAAGCGAUGCGGCUGAGUACUUCUGUGCUGUGAAUGCCACAGUGCCUGAGACUGCAGGAGAGCUGAACGCAAACCCCCGAGAUGCUGAGACCUUCUGUGACUAAAGAACUCAACCUGGGAACUUUUCAAGAAGCUCUCUCUUUUUCUGUGCCCCUUUGAAGGCAUAUAGGACAGGGUAGGCUGAAUCCUUGAGAGUGUUUGUCUCUGGAAUAAUUGCUCCAAUGUCAGUGUCAUGCCACAUUCAGAUACACUUUGUCCCACAUGGAGGUUUCCUGAUGAAUUUCUCCAGGAGGGACCUCUUCCACGCUCUGAAGAAAGUACAUCACAAGGUGUCAGAGCUCUGAAAUAAAAAGCAACAGCAUUUUUAUAAAAAAUUAUUUCUAGUAUUUGUUAUGAUUAGUAUUGCCUCAGAAUUGAUUAAUUCAUGGAUAAUUGAUGUAAUUGAUUAGAAUGUUAGCUAAAAGCUGUGCAGGACAGAUUCUCAAUUAGGGCAACCCAUACAGCACAGAGUCUCUAUCAGCAUACUGUAGAUUCUCAACCUAGAUUUGAACCUUAACUUCUAGCACGUACAUAAUAUCUCACUGUGUGGUAAUGGCAUAUUUAAACUAAAUUAGACAUAAUGUCAAGAUUUUUAAUCUUGUGAGCAU